GGGCGCAGAGGGCAGCCGCGACCGGGGCGAGCCCCGACUGCGCCGCGGGCUCGGGUGCUCUCCCUGCUCGCGGGCGUGGGAGGGAUUUACCCUGGUAUUCAAAGCGUCUCCCCCUCCUCCCCCCAGCCCGCUCCUUCUCCACAGCGCCGGCCGCGGCGGCCAGUUGAACGACGGCGCCUCCCCCGCCCUCACUCGGCGGGCGGGCGGCCCCGCCGCGUCCCGAGCCGAGGAGCCGCGGCUCCUCCUGAAACUCCGCCAGAGCCGUUUCAAACAACAAGGGCCGGGAGGGGGAAGGGAGCGAGGGAGAGGGACGGUGCUUCCGACAGGGAUCCUGGGAGCUGUAGUCCGCGGGCGGGAGCGGCCCCCGGCGGGCAGCCGGGCCGCGGGGACUGCGGCGGCGCGGCCGUUGGGCGGCCGUUAGGGGGCCGUUGGGGGCGCGCGCGGAGCGUUCGGCGGCGGCCGUUCGCCCCGCCGGACGGCGAGGAGGGAAAGGCAAAAGUGUGGGGUUCCUCCCCUCCCCCCAGCAGAUUUAUUUUCUGGCCAUGUGGAUUUGAGCGGUCUGUUUUGGGGGAGCGCAGAGCAUCCGCUGGACGUUCACGGGAGCUGAGGUGGGCGCGGAUUUGUUUCCAGCUCUGAAGGACGGGUCUGUGAAGCUAAUGGCCGAGUCUAGAAAAAGGAGAGGGAAGGACGAUUAUAUCAGUGAAAGAGAACGUCACGAAGAAAGGUUUUAUCUGCUCAGCAUCUCACAGUUCUAAAAGAUCUUGGAUACGCUGAUCUAAUUUUACAGAAGCUGGAUGUGUUGACAGCAUUUCCUUUGAAUAUGGAAGAAAUCAGUGAUCCAAACAGAAUCCUCAAGAAAAAUAGAAUGAAAGGUACAAACACAGAAAUCUGUGGUAGCCUAUCAUUAACUCACUUCCUCAGAGUGUGGGAACACUGAGUUUUGAUCUCUGCUUAUCUGACACUGAGUAGAGUUUGAAUCUGCCUCUGCUUUCCAGUUCCCAAGAGAAUGGUCAGAUGAACCUAUUACCACAUUAAGAGAGCAUGGGCAUAUCUCACAUAGCAUCCAGCAGAAGAAUGCCUAAAAGAAUCAUUCCUUCUCUCCCCUGAUGAAGUAAAUGUUGCAGAAAGAAAGAUGAUCUACACAACGGCAUCCUCACACUGCUUUUUUUCCACUAGGACAGAACAAAGGACCUUGGGAGUGUGGAUUAUGAGAAGUUAAUGUUACUGACAAAGAAGAAAAUUGAAUAAUCUGAAAUGUGGUGCUGGCAAGUAUCCUUCUAUGACUUCUGGAUAGAGAAGUAGAAGAAUGUUGCUGUUAGCAACCCUACUAGAAAAAGACAGACUUUUUCCAGAAGUGAGCAGAUACAGACAUAUACUUUGAUUAUAUCAAACAUAGCAAUUGAAAUAACUAUGGAGAGCUUAUCAUAGCCAGGUGCGAGAAGACAACCAGUAGAGAAGUGAAAGCAGUACAUUUAGUAAAGGUUAUUAUUGGAAAUAUUUUUGCAGCUCACAUAGCAAUAUACUACAGAAAGAGCAAAAAAAAGUCUGAGUAAUACAAAAGGAAAAAUAAUCCAUUAUGAAAAAUAGAUUUGAAAGUGAACAUAAAGAAUGCAGUGAAUUUCCAGGUACUGUAAAUAAACAUACAUUGUCACAAUAUUGUUAUCAGCAGACUCAUCUCAGGUUGGCAUGGGGGCAAGUAUCAUUCCAUAAAGAGAAGUGCAUAGGAAUUUUGGUCAGUCAAAUUUACAUUGUGUAUUAAAUUGACUUUUGUAUUUUUAGAAAGAUUUUUUUAAUCUUCUUUUCCUUCAGAAGGUGGUUAACCUAAUAAAAUUUGCCUAACAAUAUGUUAGCUAGCCUGUAUAAUUAAACUACUUAUAUGGGUGGUCUUUUAGGGUCUGAGAGGCCACCUUAUUGAUAUUUUGUGUAAUAGUUAUGCUAGGUUCUGGUAACUACUGGCUAUCUUAAACUGUAUAUAUUUGUGGAAGUAAACUGAGCAUAUG